UGUGCGAAGGUAGCAUAAUCAUUAGUUUUUUAAUUAAAAGCUUGUAUGAAUGGUUGGACGAGAUAAUAACUGUCUCUUUAUAAUUAAUAGAAUUUAAUUUUUAAGUUAAAAAGCUUAAAUAUUUAUAAAAGACGAGAAGACCCUAUAGAUCUUUAUAUUUUAAAAUAUAAUUAUAUUUAAGAUUAUUUUAUAUAUUAUUUUGAGAAUAUUUUAUUGGGGUAAUAAGAAGAUUAAAUUAAUUCUUUUCAUUUUUUACAAAGAUUAUUGAUUGGAUGAUCCAUUUUUAGUGAUUAUAAGAUUAAGUUACCUUAGGGAUAACAGCGUAAUUUUUUUAGAGAGUUCAUAUCGAUAAAAAAGUUUGCGACCUCGAUGUUGGAUUAAAAAUUAAUCUGGGUGUAGAAGUUCAGAGAUUUGGUCUGUUCGACCAUUAAAUUUUUACA
rnacentral:rRNA from 1 species